UCUCGGCUUAUCACCGGCAGUCCCCCUAGAGUGCCCAACUGAAUGAUGGCAACUAGGGGCGAGGGUUGCGCUCGUUGCGGGACUUAACCCAACAUCUCACGACACGAGCUGACGACAGCCAUGCACCACCUGUCACCGACCCCGAAGGACCCCACAUCUCUGCGAGUUUUCCGGCGAUGUCAAACCCAGGUAAGGUUCUUCGCGUUGCAUCGAAUUAAUCCGCAUGCUCCGCCGCCUGUGCGGGUCCCCGUCAAUUCCUUUGAGUUUUAGCCUUGCGGCCGUACUCCCCAGGCGGGGCACUUAAUGCGUUAGCUGCGGCACGGAAGGAGUCGACACCUCCCACACCUAGUGCCCAUCGUUUACGGCGUGGACUAC
rnacentral:misc_RNA from 1 species